AUGCCCACCAAGGCGAAGACGGGUAGCCGGCCUGAGAGGGCGAACGGCCACACUGGGACUGAGACACGGCCCAGACUCCUGCGGGAGGCAGCAGUGAGGAAUUUUCCGCAAUGGGCGCAAGCCUGACGGAGCGACGCCGCGUGAGGGAUGAAGGCUUUCGGGUUGUAAACCUCUUUUGUUUGGGAAAAAGGUCCGCGUGCUCAUACCACGUGGAUUUGAUGGUACUAAGCGAAUAAGCCCCGGCUAACUACGUGCCAGCAGCCGCGGUAAUACGUAGGGGGCGAGCGUUGUCCGGAAUUACUGGGCGUAAAGGGCGUGUAGGCUGUUGGAUAAGUCUGGUGUGAAAUGCUACGGCUCAACCGUGGCACUGCGCUGGAUACUGUCCGACUGGAGUUCGGGAGGGGCAACUGGAAUUCCUGGUGUAACGGUGAAAUGUGUAGAUAUCAGGAGGAACACCCGUGGCGAAGGCGGGUUGCUGGACCGAAACUGACGCUGAGACGCGAAAGCGUGGGUAGCAAACAGGAUUAGAUACCCUGGUAGUCCACGCUGUAAACGAUGAGUGCUAGGUGUAGGGGGUAUCGACUCCCUCUGUGCCGCAGCUAACGCAUUAAGCACUCCGCCUGGGGAGUACGGCCGCAAGGUUAAAACUCAAAGGAAUUGACGGGGGCCCGCACAAGCGGUGGAGUAUGUGGUUUAAUUCGAUGAUACGCGAGAAACCUUACCUGGUCUUGACAUGUUGGGAACCCUUAAGAGAUUAGGGGGUGCCUGCUUGCAGGAGCCCAAACACAGGUGGUGCAUGGUUGUCGUCAGCUCGUGUCGUGAGAUGUUGGGUUAAGUCCCGCAACGAGCGCAACCCUUGUUGCUAGUUACCAGCACGUAAUGGUGGGAACUCUAGCGAGACUGCCGGUGACAAACCGGAGGAAGGUGGGGAUGACGUCAAAUCAUCACGCCCCUUACGACCAGGGCCACACACGUACUACAAUGCCCGGUACAACGAGUUGC
rnacentral:rRNA from 1 species